GACGAACGCUGGCGGCGUGCUUAACACAUGCAAGUCGAGCGAUGAAGUUCCUUCGGGAAUGGAUUAGCGGCGGACGGGUGAGUAACACGUGGGUAACCUGCCUCAUAGAGGGGUAUAGCCUUUCGAAAGGAAGAUUAAUACCGCAUAAGAUUGUAGUUUCGCAUGAAACAGCAAUUAAAGGAGUAAUCCGCUAUGAGAUGGACCCGCGUCGCAUUAGCUAGUUGGUGAGGUAACGGCUCACCAAGGCGACGAUGCGUAGCCGACCUGAGAGGGUGAUCGGCCACAUUGGGACUGAGACACGGCCCAGACUCCUACGGGAGGCAGCAGUGGGGAAUAUUGCACAAUGGGGGAAACCCUGAUGCAGCAACGCCGCGUGAGUGAUGACGGUCUUCGGAUUGUAAAACUCUGUCUUCAGGGACGAUAAUGACGGUACCUGAGGAGGAAGCCACGGCUAACUACGUGCCAGCAGCCGCCGUAAAAC
rnacentral:rRNA from 1 species